GGAAGGCGUGAGUCCAGCAUUGUGAGACAGCAGUGCCGAGAGCCUUCUCUGAGUAAGGCAGGAAGCCUUCCCAAUUCCAGUCUCCAAGUUUUAUUCUUUCCUGAAUCAAGGACAAUGCCAGGCUUUUGGGCGUGGAGGCCCUCUCUACAUGAAUUCCCAUAUGAGGCUCUUCUAUUUCAACAGCCUCCAAAUUGGAAUGUAUUUUGAAGCCCCCCAUACAGCCCCCUGUUGUCAUUGACCCUAAAUCUGCAGGCACAGGAAAUUGGUCCACACCCUGCUCUGUACGGCUGCCCUAUGGAGUCUUGCUCUGUCACCAUGCUCGAGUGCAGCAGCGCGAUCUCGGCUCACUGCAACCUCUGCCUCCCGGGUUCACGCCAUUCUCCUGCCUCAGCCUCCCGAGUAGCUGGGAUUACAGGUGCCCACCACCACACCCAGCUAAUUUUUUUUUUGUAUUUUUAGUAGAGAUGGGGUUUCACCAUGUUGGCCAGGAUGGUCUCAAUCUCCUGACCUCGUGAUCCGCCCGCCUCCCAGAGUGCUGGGAGUACAGGCAUGAGCCACUGCACUGGGCCAAUAGUAAUAUUUUAAGGGUAAGAAAAAUCAGUAUCUUAUAGAGUAUCAAUGUGCUUCCAUGGACUGGUCUUGUACCUGCGGGUAUCAGCCAUUGCAUUCGAGCAAGUGCUCCAGCCAGGAAGCUCCAACAGAAGCCUGCCCUUCCAUGUGAAGAUCUGUAAACCACUGGGAAAUGAGAUAUCACCAGCCUAUGGGAAAUACACAAGACCCACUCCAGCAGGGAGAAACUCCAUUACAUCUCAGCCCAUGUGACUGACUCAGAAGGCUGUGGAAGCAAAUAUGUACUCACAUGCUCCAGCGUGAACUCAGCUCAAGAAACAAAGUGACCUUGGUUGUGCUUUGGGCAUAGGUGGAGAAAAGAUGGAAGAAUAAGACAGCAGGAGGCUGACCCAGAAGAGCAGGUUCUGGGGAACUCUAGAGCAAGAUGUGUCUCCUCUGGUUUAGCAGAGAACAAAUAUGAAGAGUAGGAAUUCCCUGUAGGAGUCCCUGUAAGAAGAGCAGAAAUGGCACAUUAUCUUCACUGCUUCUCACCACUAAUUACAUAAAUCUAGAAGCUACUGUAAAUGGCUACUUUUAAAAAUACACUAUUUUCGAAAAAGCUUGGCUGUGAUGUAGGGCCUAUAGCCCCAAAGGUUAACAGUAUAGCAAACAAAUUAGAAAGCAAGAACCCAGAAACAGAAGAAGAAAACGUAUUCCUCAGAAUGGACAAUACAUUGAGAAUAGGCAUUGCAUUUGUUUCUGAGCAUCCCAAAAAAACAGAGAGAAAAA
ensembl:lncRNA novel transcript